rnacentral:lncRNA from 1 species
CUGCUGCAAGAGAUUAAUGGGCGCCCCGGGCAGGAGAUUAGUGAGAUUUCAGCAGAAAAACAAAUACUGGAUAUUCUCUCUCCUGUGAAGAAGCAGCACACCUAUGGGGCUUGAUCAUGGAUGAGUGUGAGAGACUGAGGAAGGAAGAGGAAGGACAUCAAGGAACUAGAUGCUUAGUGCCUGAACCCUGUCAGAUGGUAACGCCCAGUGCUCUGCAGAGAAGAAGGCCUCUUAUUGAUAAUAACCUAUAUCAAGGGGCUGGAGAGGUGGCCCAGUGGUUAUUGAUACUUGCUGCUCUUGCUUUGGGCCCAUAUUCAGCUCUUAACCCCACUGUGG